UACAUGGGGUGCAAACGUUGCUCGGAAUCAUUGGGCGUAAAGCGCGCGUAGGCGGUUACACAAGUUGGAUGUGAAAGCCCUCGGCUUAACUGAGGAAGUGCAUCCAAAACUGUGCAGCUAGAGUACUAAAGAGGGUCGCGGAAUUCCCGGUGUAGAGGUGAAAUUCGUAGAUAUCGGGAGGAACACCGGUGGCGAAGGCGGCGACCUGGGUAGAUACUGACGCUAAGACGCGAAAGUUAGGGGAGCAAACAGG
rnacentral:rRNA from 1 species